rnacentral:rRNA from 1 species
AUUGAACGCUGGCGGCAGGCCUAACACAUGCAAGUCGAGCGGUAGCACAGAGGGCUUGCUCUCGGGUGACGAGCGGCGGACGGGUGAGUAAUGUCUGGGAAACUGCCUGAUGGAGGGGGAUAACUACUGGAAACGGUAGCUAAUACCGCAUAACGUCGCAAGACCAAAGGGGGGGACCUUCGGGCCUCUUGCCAUCAGAUGUGCCCAGAUGGGAUUGGCUAGUAGGUGGGGUAACGGCUCACCUAGGCGACGAUCCCUAGCUGGUCUGAGAGGAGUACCAGCCACACUAGGACUGAGACACGGUCCAGACUCCUACGGGAGGCAGCAGAGGGGAAUAUUGCACAAUGGGCGCAAGCCUGAUGCAGCCAUGCCGCGUGUAUGAAGAAGGCCUUCGGGUUGUAAAGUACUUUCAGCGGGGAGGAAGGUGCUGAGGUUAAUAACCUCAGCAAUUGACGUUACCCGCAGAAGAAGCACCGGCUAACUCCGUGCCAGCCGCCGCCGUAA